AACCUGACAACAGGCCAGAAGGAGGACCCUCUACUUCUGGGCCAGGGCUGACCACAGGUAACUGAAAUCAUAGAAAGCAUAGCUAUGGAUAAGGGGGGAAUGCUGUAAUGAAUAAAUGGUGCCUCUGGUCACUCUUAUUAGAGUUCCAGAAGACAACCUGAAGAAUCCAUAAGAAUAGUGUAAGAUGUAAAGCCCCAGUACUGCAAUCCCAUGAAGAUCAAAGCCAGUUUGCUAUUCUGCAUUAACAUUUCUGUGAUCAGAUAUAACGUGAGCACCUCGAUUCUAUCUGUGUCAAGAUAUCUUCACACAAGUGACUCAUCUGGUAAAAGCUCGGGAACUGAACACUGCUCUGACAACCAUCUCCUUUGAGGUUGAUUCCACGUUGGUGGUGUUACAAGCCAACGUCCUGUUUAGCUGCUUUCCUCUGCAACACAACACUGUAAUUAAAACUGACUAAACAAUAAAUCUCAAUUUCCCUGUUCCAUCAGGAGAAUCUUUCAAUUUACUAGGCUUCGUCUAUUCGCCAGCUCCUCCUCUGCAUUACGAAUCGUUCUUGAACAAGCACACAAGUUAACUACCCACUCUUACGUUGAACGUGCAGAGAUUCAGUGCCAAUUCUGUCAUUAGACAUCCUAGAUCUGCUCCUGGGGGACCUGAGAGGAAACUGGGUGUUAUGCCUGAGUUAAAUAUGUGAAGAGGCUAUCCCCCUCCUCACGCAGGCCCUGUCAGCUCCAGAAAGCACAAACUCAACGGGCUGCCCUUGCAAGGAACAGGCAUCUCUUUGUCCUCCUAAAUACCUCUUGCCGUGACCAAGUUCCAGUUUCCAGAACCCGAAACACCUUUGCCCAAUGAAAACCUUCCUGAACUUUUUACCCAACAACUCACAGACCAUGAAUGGCGUUCCCUCAGGCUCCAAGACAAUCAAGUUAGGGAGACGAUGUAGAAAAAGAACGUGGUAAAAAGAGAUCCAACAAGCUCCCUGAGGCUCAUAAGAAGACACUUUGCCAAAAGAUACACGGACACCAACUAAGGUUUAACGAACUGCUUUCCCUGAUAUCUCAUUUAAUACACCACCUCAUGAACUGGGCAGCGCAGCUACCUCUGCCUCUCUUCUAGAAAUACGGGAUGCUCGUUCAGACAACUUUCUCGCCACAAUCUAAUGUGCCUCACCACUCCUAACCGACAGUCUUACCAGUCAGCUUGCCAGUAACUUGAAGCCUGCAAGUGUAACGGGCCAGCAAUUUGUGCUUUUCAAAGAUUCCAACUGCCAAAAAUAAAUGAGAGCUUAGGACACAGCCACCAUGCUUAAUACCCAAAGACUUGUUUUGUUUGUUUUAUUUUUCAAAGGCUGUGGCUUUGCUGGCUCCUGCUUUAUAUGAUUUCUUAUUAUGCUCUAUGUUGAAUUAUACUUUUAAAUUUUUGGACAAAUCACUGUAACACAGAAGUCUUGUUCAAUUUAACAAGCUGCGGAGAGUGGCAAAUGGGGGCAGGAGGGUUCUCUUGAUGCCAACAAAAUAAGACUGACUUUGAAGUAUCUUGGUCACAUUAACAGCAAAGAGCAUCCUUUUUCUCUUACCAUAAAAGUACCUUGUGAAAAUACUACAGAAUCUGAGACAUACACAAAGUUCAGGAAAGCCUCAUGACCAGUGUACUCACUGCUGGUGUAAAUACAGUGACAGAGAUCACCAACACUACCUUUCCCAACAGUAGACCUUAACAUUUGGUACCUGUAUUGGAACGCACACCAAUCCAGAGCCUUCACAUGUCCAUCAGCUUCCAGUGAUCAGUGGGAAUGAUCAACUGGUGAAGGAAAAGAACUGGAAUGGUCAUUAUAAGCCCUAUUUUCUAAAUAUUAGCUCUGCCACUAUGUCUCAGUUGUUCUCUAUUCUACUAAGGACAAUACAUAUGUGGCAGUGCUCUGGAGAAGACACUUCUGGGUAGCCCUAAACUACUGGUUCUUGCAGUGAGUGGGAAAUACACACACCAACUAAGAGCCAUGCCUUGGCUCCGAAUACCUCUGCAGUGAGCUCAUAGCGAAGCCAGUCCAAGUGUUUGCUAGAAUAAACAAGAGGCCACAGAUGCGAUCUGAGAUGGCUUCCCUCCCUGGGCAAACAACUAGGUGAAUGUGUCAAGACGAGAAGAUGGUGUAAGAGGUAAAGACCAGGAGUAGCCAGACCUCAAAUGUGGAUAAUUUUUGCAUGUGUUCUCACCGACUUCUUUCGGCAUCCAUCUCAACAGAACUUAAGUACGUUUCUAUGAGGUUAUAAAUUGCACCGUUUCCCCCAUUUAGGUACCUGCCCCAAAUCACCAGGAAGAGAUAGAGAACGUGAUAAAGGACUUACACAUUC